rnacentral:rRNA from 1 species
GUGAGGAAUAUUGGUCAAUGGGCGGGAGCCUGAACCAGCCAAGUCGCGUGAAGGAAGAAGGAUCUAUGGUUCGUAAACUUCUUUUGCAGGGGAAUAAAGUGCAGGACGUGUCCUGUUUUGUAUGUACCCUGAGAAUAAGGAUCGGCUAACUCCGUGCCAGCAGCCGCGGUAAUACGGAGGAUCCGAGCGUUAUCCGGAUUUAUUGGGUUUAAAGGGUGCGUAGGUGGUUUGAUAAGUCAGCGGUGAAAGUUUGCAGCUUAACUGUAAAAAUGCCGGUGAAACUGUCGGACUUGAGUGUAAAUGAGGUAGGCGGAAUGCGUGGUGUAGCGGUGAAAUGCAUAGUUAUCACGCAGAACUCCGAUUGCGAAGGCAGCUUACUAAGCUACAACUGACACUGAAGCACGAAAGCGUGGGGAUCAAACAGGAUUAGAAACCCGUGUAGUCC